CGCGUAGGCUGCAUGGCAAGUCAGAGGUGAAAUCCCCCGGCUUAACCGGGGAACUGCCUCUGAUACUGCCGUGCUUGAGUCCCGGAGAGGGUAGCGGAAUUCCCAGUGUAGCGGUGAAAUGCGUAGAUACUGGGAGGAACACCAGUGGCGAAGGCGGCUACCUGGACGGGUACUGACGCUGAGGCGCGAAAGCGUGGGGAGCAAACAGGAUUAAUACCCUGGUAGUCC
rnacentral:rRNA from 1 species